rnacentral:rRNA from 1 species
ACGAACGCUGGCGGCGUGCCUAAUACAUGCAAGUCGAGCGGACGGAUGGGAGCUUGCUCCCAGACCGUCAGCGGCGGACGGGUGAGUAACACGUGGGCAACCUGCCUGUAAGACUGGGAUAACUCCGGGAAACCGGGGCUAAUACCGGAUAACUCUUUCCCUCACAUGAGGGAAAGCUGAAAGAUGGCAUCUCGCUAUCACUUACAGAUGGGCCCGCGGCGCAUUAGCUAGUGGGUGAGGUAACGGCUCAACAAGGCGACGAUGCUUAGCCGACCUGAGAGGGUGAUCGGCCACACUGGGACUGAGACACGGCCCAGACUCCUACGGGAGGCAGCAGUAGGGAAUCUUCCGCAAUGGACGAAAGUCUGACGGAGCAACGCCGCGUGAGUGAUGAAGGUUUUCGGAUCGUAAAACUCUGUUGUCAGGGAAGAACAAAUACCGGAGUAACUGCCGGUACCUUGACGGUACCUGACCAGAAAGCCACGGCUAACUACGUG